AGUGAUUCAGUGAUGAAGAGAGUACUGAUUUAGUUUGUUCAAAGCGAAUUGGGAUGGUGUAAGCCAAUAACAAAAAAAUCAGGAACCGCACUUUUGAGAAAAUAAUUCGAAACUAGUAAAAUUAUUCGGUUUUGUUUGCCGUUAUCUAAAAACAAGUGGUUUUGUCGCUUAGAUAAAACAACAAGAGUGGUACCGCGGGCUCAACCUCGUCUCUUUU
rnacentral:ncRNA from 1 species